rnacentral:lncRNA from 1 species
UGACACCAACAAAGAUUGAUGACAUUCCAGGUUUAUCAGACACCAGUCCGGACCUCAGCUCUCGAUCUAGUUCUCGAGUAAGAUUUAGCUCCCGAGAAAGUGUGCCAGAAACAAGCCGUAGUGAGCCUAUGAGUGAACUGUCUGGGGCCACCACUUCUCUGGCAACUGUUGCCCUAGAUCCUUCCAGUGACCGGACUUCUAACCCCCAGGAUGUUACCGAGGGUAAGUAGAAACUCAGAGAACAGGAUGUUUCAACGCCUGGGGUGUCCAUGCUGGAUAACUAUUCUGUUUUAUAAUUAUCACCUGGAAUUAAGGCCCGCAUUCCUGUGAUGCUUAGGAGUGUGGGAAUAAUAGCGACAGUUAGUAGGCCACUGCAGUAGUCUUUUGGCGUGGGAAGGUAGCUGGCAAGAGGUCAAGGAAAUGUAUAUUUUGAUUUCCUCAUUUUUGCCUUAUAACCAAAAUGACUAUUUUUAGUUAAAGAUAAAUAACAAAAUUAAAUCGCUUACAUCACAAAAAAAUCCUAAACUAAAAUUUUAAUGGGUUGGCUGUGUGCUCUCUAGAGAGCUCUGGGCUUUGACUCUUAAGUCAGCAUUUAAGCCAGGUUGUUACUUCUUGUGUCUUAGUGGUUUCUUUUUGAAGACUUAGUUGGGUGUCAUAAAAUUAUUUUUUGAAAUAUAUGGUUUUAUAGAGUAUGUAAAGUAACUGAAUUCACUCAAGGAGAUGUUAUUCUUUUGAACAAAUGGAGCUUGCAAGAGGGCCUUCAAGUGCCUGAUUCCCACAUAAUUUCCCUGCUGAACUUUAAAUAACUAUUUUGUAUAUUGUAUAUUGGGUUUUUGUAGUCAGGACUUAUAGAAGCCAUUUCUGUUCAUAUUGGACACUUUCCAGACUUGACCUUGAACUGACCAGACUGACUGAAGUUUUCAUUUGAUUUAGUGGGAAGAGGUGAUACAAAGAGAAAAGUUACUUUUUCCAGACUCAAACGUUUGAGAACUGCACUUAGUUUUAUGCCACAUUUGGACCAGCAAAAUCUUUGUGGGGUUUUUUGUUUGUUUGAUUGAUUGAUUUUGUUUUGUUUUUAAGUUUUUCCCUUAAGAAUCUUAAAGACUUUUGAAAAUUCUAUUCUACACAAGUUUGAAAACACGGUCUUAACCACUGACUUGUUAAAGCAAGGCUGAUUUACCAUUUCCGGUCUCAGGAAAUAUUGUUCCUCCUGACCUUAAGUGUUCCGGAAGCCAGAAUAGUUUUAGUUCCUCAAAUUUGUUUGUUUUCAAUGUCUUGAGAAAGAUAGACUUGGUAAAGCUCAUAGUUCCAGAAUUUACUAAUCUUUAGCUGGUCGUGUUUCUCUUAUGGCAGUAGCUAUGUGUUAGUUCCUGGUCUAAUGCUUUCCAUUGCUCAAUAAACCUUACACUGGGUUAUAUACACUGUGUCAAAGGUGAAAUAUGAAAUAAAAGAUCAUAACUUCCUUUUC